ACAGGUGACACAGACACAACCUGCACGCCAAUACCAGAAAAUACUACUUUCCUAGAUGGAGUGCCACCCAAAAAGCCAAAAGUUGUACACACACGCCGCAGAAAACGCAGCAAUUCAACUGGUAAUAGAAAAGCAACAGUGUGCCCUGAAAGUCCCUCAAACAGAAGUAUGCCCACCAUUACCCCUGAGAGUAGUUUCCAUCUGAGCUCAAACCCAUUCCAGCAUGUAUUACGUAUUCCCUUCAGCCCCCCUCUUCUGCCCCCUAGUGGAGGUUCACCACUACAAAUCAUCCAGACAAUCAGCCCUUAUACGCCGCCUCUAUUCGGCACUGUGGUUCCAACAGGGCCUACAUACGUGAUUGGUGAGUCUACUGUAAAAGUAUCAUUAAACAGCUGCAUGUGCCUGCAUGCUCU
rnacentral:lncRNA from 1 species